rnacentral:rRNA from 1 species
UGGGGAAUUUUGGACAAUGGGCGAAAGCCUGAUCCAGCCAUGCCGCGUGAGCGAAGAAGGCCUUCGGGUUGUAAAGCUCUUUUAGUCGGAAAGAAAGAGUUGCAAUGAAUAAUUGUGAUUUAUGACGGUACCGACAGAAAAAGCACCGGCUAACUACGUGCCAGCAGCCGCGGUAAUACGUAGGGUGCGAGCGUUAAUCGGAAUUACUGGGCGUAAAGGGUGCGCAGGCGGUCUUGCAAGUCAGAUGUGAAAGCCCCGGGCUUAACCUGGGAAUUGCGUUUGAAACUACAAGGCUAGAGUGCAGCAGAGGGGAGUGGAAUUCCAUGUGUAGCAGUGAAAUGCGUAGAGAUGUGGAAGAACACCGAUGGCGAAGGCAGCUCCCUGGGUUGACACUGACGCUCAUGCACGAAAGCGUGGGGAGCAAACAGGAUUAGAUACCCCAGUAGUCCCUGAGCGGGCUGGCAAGGCGCAU